rnacentral:lncRNA from 12 species
CAAUUUACUGCAUGUUUGUAUGACACAUGGCACUCACUUGUGAAUAUUCUUCUUUCCAGAUGCACAGCAAGUUGACAACAAGUUUGUGGUGGAAGUUACAACUCUUUAAAGGACAUAUAAUCUGCUGUGCUUUUCAAAAUCCCCAAAUAGCCCCAUGACGAUAUCCAGAGGUAGUGCUGUGGCAGACCCUGCUGAAACUUCUACCAGCUCACUGAUGCUCACUUGUUUUAAUUUCUUCUCACUUCCUUCUUCCUCUCACCUUUCAAACCUUUGUUCAAUAA